rnacentral:rRNA from 1 species
AUUGAACGCUGGCGGCAUGCCUUACACAUGCAAGUCGAACGGCAGCACGGGGCAACCUGGUGGCGAGUGGCGAACGGGUGAGUAAUGCAUCGGAACGUACCUUUCAGUGGGGGAUAACGUAGCGAAAGUUACGCUAAUACCGCAUAUUCCGUGAGCAGGAAAGCAGGGGAUCGCAAGACCUUGCGCUGAUUGAGCGGCCGAUGUCAGAUUAGCUAGUUGGUGAGGUAAAGGCGCACCAAGGCGACGAUCUGUAGCGGGUCUGAGAGGAUGAUCCGCCACACUGGAACGGAGCCACGGUCCAGACUCCUGCGGGGGGCAGCAGUGGGGAAUUUUGGACAAUGGGGGCGGCCCUGAUCCAGCCACGCCGCGUGAGUGAAGAAGGCCUUCGGGUUGUAAAGCUCUUUCGGCCGGGAAGAAAUCGCACGGGCUAAUACCCUGUGUGGAUGACGGUACCGGAAUAAGAAGCACCGGCUAACUACGUGCCAGCCGCCGCCGUAACAC